rnacentral:SRP_RNA from 1 species
UCUGGGUGCAGUGAUGCAUGCCUGUAGUCCCAGCUACUCAGGAGGCUGAGGUGGGAGGAUCACUUGAGCCCAGGAGUCCUGUGCUGUACUGCGCUGUGCCUAUUGGGUGUCCACACUAAGUUUGGCAUCAAUAUGGUGACCUCGCAGGAGCGCGGGACCAACAAGUUGCCUAAGGAGGUAUGAACCAGCCCAGGUUGGAAAUGGGGCAGGACAAAACUCCCGUGCUGAUCAGUGGUGGGAUCGUGCCUGUGAAUAGCCACUGCAUGCCAGGCUGGGCAACAGAGUGACACCCCAUCUCUA